UAACACGUAGGGGGCGAGCGUUGUCCGGAUUUAUUGGGCGUAAAGAGCUCGUAGGCGGCUCAGUAAGUCGGGUGUGAAAACUCUGGGCUCAACCCAGAGACGCCACCCGAUACUGCUGUGGCUAGAGUCCGGUAGGGGAGCGUGGAAUUCCUGGUGUAGCGGUGAAAUGCGCAGAUAUCAGGAGGAACACCAGCGGCGAAGGCGGCGCUCUGGGCCGGAACUGACGCUGAGGAGCGAAAGCGUGGGUAGCAAACAGG
rnacentral:rRNA from 1 species